rnacentral:tRNA from 1 species
UCCCUGGUGGUCCAGUAGUUAAGACUCAGUGCUCCCAAUGCAGGGGGCCCAGGUUCGAGUCCUGGUCAGGGAA